rnacentral:sRNA from 2 species
AUGCGCCACUCGCUCACUGCGGUUGGUCCGCGCCAUCCGACCCACCUGACGACUGCCCGCCAGGUCUUGCUGGCU